rnacentral:lncRNA from 13 species
UAGAUCGAUUGUUUUUGGGCGCGGAACAGUCGAAAGCUGUCAAAAGACCGGACGAAUAUUUCAGAGGAAUUGUUGAAUAUUUGUGUUGAAUGAAUUUUUUAUGUGAACAACACAUUGGAGCGUUUGAUGAGUUGCGCAAUGCAUGUUGGUCAGAUACAGUUGGUGGUUUCCUUCCUGGGAUGAAACAGAUUGCUAACGUUUCAACACUGCCUGGAGAGUAUUGUAUGGAGAUCCGUCGAUGUACCAGAUGCAAUAUGUAUGGCGGCAUUCGACAUGAGCGACCAAAAUCAAUUGUAUCACUUGGUGGUGUAAGGCUUUGAUAUUAAUUGUGGUGUUCAUCUAUUACGAAUAAAUUUAUUCAAGAGUGAUGUUUUACCUGUGAAGGUAACUGAUAUUUUUUAAUAUUUAUUUUUAAUAAUAAAUGACAUUUAAACUGAUGGCAGAUAUGAACAAUAUAAGAAUAAGGAAAUAUCAUUUUUUUAUCACAAUGGAUCUUUAUGCUGAAUAUUUCUAUAUCAAUUUUUAAAUGUAUUUUUACGCGCGUUUUAUAAAUUUUAUGUUUUAAUACAGAUUAUCAACCUUGAUACAAUCAUUAAUUGAAGUUAGAAAUAACAUCACAAGUUAAAUUGAUUAUCAAUUUUACUAAUGAUACUACAAGAAUCGUUAAUAAAUGUAAUUUAUAGAAAUUAAAUAUUUAACAAU